rnacentral:rRNA from 1 species
CCUACGGGAGGCAGCAGUAGGGAAUCUUCGUCAAUGGGCGCAAGCCUGAACGAGCGAUGCCGCGUGAGUGAAGAAGGCCUUCGGGUCGUAAAGCUCUGUUGCGGGGGAAAAAAGGCAGCAUCAGGAAAUGGGUGCUGACUGAUGGUGCCACGCAAGAAAGGCACGGCUAACUCCGGGCCAGCAGCCGCGGUAAUACGGAGGAUGGGAGUGCUAUCCGGUUUGAUUGGGUUAAAAGGGUGCGCAGGCGGAUUGUUAAGUCAGCGGUCAAAUCGUGGGGCUCAACCCCAACCAGCCGUUGAAACUGGGGAUCUAGAGUGGGCGAGAGGUAUGCGGAAUGCGUGGUGUAGCGGUGAAAUGCAUAGAUAUCGCGCAGAACCCCGAUUGCGAAGGCAGCAUGCCGGUGCACAACUGACGCUCAGGCACGAAAGCGUGGGUAUCGAACAGGAUUAGAUACCCUUGUAGUC